UACGAAAGGUGCAAGCGUUGUUCGGAAUGACUGGGCGUAAAGCGCACGUAGGUGGGCUCGUAAGUCGGAUGUGAAAGCCCUGGGCUCAACCUAGGAAUGGCACCCGAAACUACAAGUCUUGAAUGCCUAAGAGGUUGGUGGAAUUCCUGGUGUAGGAGUGAAAUCCGUAGAUAUCAGGAGGAAUAUCGGAGGCGAAGGCGGCCAACUGGUGGUGCAUUGACACUGAGGUGCGAAAGCGUGGGGAGCAAACAGG
rnacentral:rRNA from 1 species